rnacentral:rRNA from 1 species
UACAGAGGUCUCAAGCGUUGUUCGGAUUCAUUGGGCGUAAAGGGUGCGUAGGUGGCGGGGCAAGUCUGGUGUGAAAUCCCGGGGCUCAACCCCGGAACUGCACUGGAUACUGCCUUGCUAGAGCACUGGAGAGGGAACUGGAAUUUACGGUGUAGCAGUGAAAUGCGUAGAUAUCGUAAGGAAGACCAGUGGCGAAGGCGAGUUCCUGGACAGUUGCUGACACUGAGGCACGAAAGCUAGGGGAGCGAAUGGG